rnacentral:rRNA from 1 species
AGAGCGAACGCUGGCGGCAGGCCUAACACAUGCAAGUCGAGCGCCCCGCAAGGGGAGCGGCAGACGGGAGAGUAACACGUGGGAACGUACCCUUCAGUUCGGAACAACCCAGGGAAACUUGGGCUAAUACCGAAUAACACCUACGGGUCAAAGGAGCAAUUCGCUUAAGGAGGGGUCGCGGCAGAUUAGCUAGUUGGCGGGGUAAUGGCCCACCAAGGCAGUGAUCUGUAUCC